rnacentral:rRNA from 1 species
CAGGUCAAAUCUUAACAGUAGCGGCUUUCCCAUCAGAACUCCGAAGUUAAGCGUGCUUGGGCGAGAGCAGUACUAGGAUGGGUGACCCCCUGGGAAGUCCUCGUGUUGCACCU